rnacentral:rRNA from 1 species
UACAGAGGUCCCGAGCGUUGUUCGGAUUCAUUGGGCGUAAAGGGUGCGUAGGCGGCGGGGAAAGUCUGAUGUGAAAUCCUGGGGCUCAACCCUGGAACUGCAUUGGAUACUUCCUUGCUAGAGUACUGGAGAGGAAACUGGAAUUUACGGUGUAGCAGUGAAAUGCGUAGAGAUCGUAAGGAAGACCAGUGGCGAAGACGAGUUUCUGGACAGUUACUGACGCUGAGGCACGAAGGCCAGGGGAGCAAACGGG